CUGAGUGAGUGCCUUGUUCCUGAGUGAGUGCCUUGUUCCUGAGUGAGUGCCUUGUUCCUGAGUGAGUGCCUUGUUCCUGCUAUCUUGGUUCCUAGCCUGUGUUCCCCAUUUCUGCCUCUGUACUGGCUGCCCUGGCCUCCGAGCCUGAGGACCUAUCUGCCCUGGAUAGUUCCACUUUCCCAGCUACAGGACCUGGUUUUUUUCCUCUGUCAAAUCAGUGGAAAAUAAUUAAUUUACUGCCGUUACCUCUUAGAUAACUAAGUAUAAUGUGAGAAUGGUGAGCAUUGUCUUUUUGCUAUUCGACCUCGGAAUCACAGCAGUAUAUUGUGGAAGUGACACUUUAAAGUAUCAUGUCACUCUGUUAUCAGCUCUGACCCCUGGGGUUCCUCAGUAUUCAGUUAUUAUGUAUGUGAAUGAUGUGCCGUAUGGAAGGUACAACAGUGAUGAACGUCGUGCCCAGGCUUUCACUCCAUCACUGAAUGUUCUUUCUGAGCAUUUGGAGACGCAGACCAGAAUUGCUCAGGAAUAUGAAAUAAGGCAGAGACACAGAAUGAAUUUUCUAAUGGAAAUUUUAAAUAAGUCAAAAGGUGAUGGAGAUAUCCAUGUCUACCAGAGGAAGUGUGCCUGUGAGCUGCAUGAUGAUGGCACCAUUGAUGGAUACCAGGAGAUUGCCUUUGAUGGGAAUUUACUUUUAAUAUUUGAUAAGGAGAAAGUGAUCUAUUUGCCUGUAACAGAAGAGGCCAUAACGGUGGCUGAGCAAUGGAAUAAACUCUAUGAUUCAACUUAUGCUAAGAUAAACACAGAGCAUGAAUGUAUUGAGCAACUGAAGAUAUAUCAACUUACCUGGAAAAAAAAGUUCCCCCUAAUGUGAAGAUUUCCAUCUUAGAGUCAGAAAUUAGCAUUAGCAAACUGCACUGCUGGGUGUAUGGGUUCUACCCCCGAGAUGUGGAAGUGAAGUGGAUAAAGAAUGGGAGAGAUGAGAUUUACUCAGAGGAAUCAGCAGAGAUCCUGCCAAACCCUGAUGGCACCUAUCAGAUCAGAGUCAGUGUGGAGGUAACACCAGAGGAGGGCGCCACUUACUCCUGCCAUGUGGAUCACAGCAGUUUGGAGAAAAUACUGGUUAUUCUAUUUGAAUCCCACAAGAAGAGCCGCUUGUAUAUCACCACCCAUGUCAGUGUGUUCCUCAUGAUUAUCCUGGGAGUAUUUCUAUGCAAAAACAGAAUGAAAGAAGAACCGAGUCAUAAGAGCUUGUGCACAGAAGAUGGAGACGAAAAGUCAUGUCGGCCUUCUUGCAUAAACAUGUCACGUUUAAGAAACUUUUUCAGGAUUUGGCCAGGAUUAAGCCUUUUUCAUCAGAAUUCGGAUUUGCACGAAUCCUCUUGCCUGACCGAUCUGAAUCCUUAAAAUCAUGUGACUUUUCAUCACCAAAGAAGGAUGCAAAACAAUUUUUAACCUUGGUUCUCUUUUUCCCUCCCUGUCCCUGAUUUGAAUAUGCAUAUCCUUAUUCACCAAUGAGGAUGCUGAUUACAUGAACAUCUUGCUGUUAUCUUUCUACUGCCAUUGAAUAAAUAUUACAAGUGUGUGGCCC